rnacentral:rRNA from 1 species
CCUACGGGUGGCAGCAGUGGGGAAUAUUGCACAAUGGGGGAAACCCUGAUGCAGCAACGCCGCGUGAAGGAAGACGGUUCUCGGAUUGUAAACUUCUGUUCUUAGUGAAGAAGAAUGACGGUAGCUAAGGAGCAAGCCACGGCUAACUACGUGCCAGCAGCCGCGGUAAUACGUAGGUGGCAAGCGUUGUCCGGAAUUACUGGGUGUAAAGGGAGCGCAGGCGGGAAGCCAAGUCAGCUGUGAAAACUACGGGCUUAACUUGUAGACUGCAGUUGAAACUGGUGUUCUUGAGUGAAGAAGGGGUUGGCGGAAUUCAGGGUGUAGCGGUGAAAUGCGUAGAUAUUCUGAGGAACACCGAUGGCGAAGGCGACCGACUGGGCUUUAACUGACGCUGAGGCUCGAAAGUGUGGGGAGCAAACAGGAUUAGAUACCCUGGUAGUC